AUUGAACGCUGGCGGCAUGCCUUACACAUGCAAGUCGAACGGUAGAGGGGGCAACCCCUUGAGAGUGGCGAACGGGUGAGUAAUGCAUCGGAACGUGCCCAGUAGUGGGGGAUAGCCCGGCGAAAGCCGGAUUAAUACCGCAUACGACCUACGGGUGAAAGCGGGGGACCUGCGGGCCUCGCGCUAUUGGAGCGGGCGAUGUCAGAUUAGCUAGUUGGUGGGGCAAGGGCCUACCAAGGCGACGAUGCGUUGCCGACCUGGGAGGGUGAUCGGCCACACUGGGACUGAGACACGGCCCAGACUCCUGCGGGAGGCAGCAGUAGGGAAUCAUCCGCAAUGGGCGAAAGCCUGACGGUGCAACGCCGCGUGAGUGAGGAAGGUUUUCGGAUCGUAAAGCUCUGUUGUGAGGGAAGAACAGCUUCCGGAGGAAAUGCCGGAGGUUUGCCGGUACCUCACCAGAAAGCCCCGGCUAACUACGUGCCAGCCGCCGCAGUAAUAC
rnacentral:rRNA from 1 species